rnacentral:rRNA from 1 species
UACGUAGGCAGCAAGCGUUGUCCGGAAUCAUUGGGCGUAAAGCGCGUGUAGGCGGUCCGGUAAGUCCGCUGUGAAAGCCCGGGGCUCAACUCCGGAAUUGCCUUUAAGACUGCAUCGCUAGAAUUGUGGAGAGGUAAGUGGAAUUCCGAGUGUAGAGGUGAAAUUCGUAGAUAUUCGGAAGAACACCAGUGGCGAAGGCGACUUACUGGACACAUAUUGACGCUGAGGUGCGAAAGCGUGGGGAGCAAACAGG